ensembl:lncRNA
UAUUGAAAUUACAUGAAAUGGUGCACCUAAGGGAAUGUUUAUGUUUCAGGAAAAAAAAAAAAUUGGACUGGAUUGAAAUGCAGCAUGAAUCAUAAGAGAAGUUUAGAAGCACAUGAAGAUGAAUGGGUCCCCAGUGACUCAACAGAGAACAUCUGACCACAGGUAGUUAUUUUGUUUGUUUUCAUAUCUUCAACAAGCUCCAGCAUUCUCGAGAAGGUGCAGAGAUGGCAGGGCAGGAAGACGAAUUACUUUACCUGAACGGAAAUUGGGCUGCUUCAUUGGCUUUGGAUGAUGCCAUCCAAGUUGGCUGAGAGGAAAAGAAGCUCAAAUUCCUCCAAGUGUGAUAAAGUAAAUCUCUGGUGCAUCAUUGAUGCCCCAGAAAUGAAGAAAAGUUUUCAAGUACAUCUAAAUAUCAUCCAACACCUGAGAGGAUUUGAUCAAAGAGACAAAGUCAAGCUCAUCGCAGUGGAAAUUCAAGAGAUUAUGGACACUGAAACAAGAAAUUAGUAUGUGAGGAAAAGCUUUUUCACCAUAAGGACAGUGAAACAGAGGAAGAGGCUGCCCAGUGAGGAUGUAAGUUUUCCAUCUCUGAGAGUUUUUCAAAAGCCAUCUGGAUCAUAAACUGCAGAGUUCACCUAAUUUCAAUCAAGGGUUGGAACAGAGACUUACUGAGGUCUUUUGUGAACUGUGUUUUCUUAUGAUCAUCUACUGUACUAUACCGUAUCCGCAGUUAAUUUUCUCUUUUCCAGAGAGAUUAGUCUUUUUUACACGUAAACAAUAUGUGUAUUGUAUAACUUCAAUCAUUUUAGUUGCACUUCCUUGUUUUACUGUACCCUUUCUAAUACAGGGCAACAAGCUGCACAUGGUUUCCAAGAGAGCAGGCACUGCAAAUUAAUUCUAUGUUUAGUGGCAUUUACAUCUUUGUUCCUUAGUCCUUCAGCAGUAAUUUCUUACCAGUCUGUUUGCCUUGUAAAUGGCACUUCACUUUGGAUUUGAUAUAUUCAUAGGAUAUAUAUAAUAAUACAAAAGCUGUCUGUGAAGAUUUGUCAAGUAGUUUCAUUAAAUUUAGACCCCAUCAUUUUGUAAUUGUGAUUAAAUUUGGAUUUUCCUGUAUGUAUUUCUUUGUGUAUGUUGACUCAGUUUCUUGUUUAUCCAAUAUUCUUCUACACUACUUUAAGUUUUGAAGUGCACUGAAUAUUGCUGUAUCAUCAGAAAGCUUCAUUACAGAGCGAAAAAUAAAAGAAAUUAUAUAUUUUAGUCUCA